AAAAUCUCAAAAAUAAUACAUUUAUGUUUACUUCCAACACGCAAGCCGACCAAAUUGCAACAUUAAUUGUCAUUAUUACGCAUCAACAUGUAAAGCAAUUGAAUAAGGUACUUGAAUUUACAAAAGUUAAUUUGAAAGAAAAGCGACUAGUUGAUGCUGUUGACGCAAAAAUUAAAAGACGAAAAUCAGAGUACGCAAGAAAAAGCAGUAAUUAUGGGGUCCUCGGUCUAUUUCGGCUUAGAUAAUAAUUGUUUUAUUUUAUUAUUCCUUCUUACAAGCAAAUUUUUGUUGGAGCAAAUAUUUGUUUUCUUUAAUUUGCAAUAAAAAAAACAAAGAAUGUUUGAAGAUUAUUUGACAACUUUAUAAGCUUUAUUGUCUAUAUUGAAAAAAGAAUCGGCCCUGAAGUAAAGAAUGUGUUUGGGAAAGUGUAAUGUAACUUGCGAGAAAAUAAUUUUUGUCUAGAAUUAAAUAAUGUAAAACAAAAUAUUUUGAACGUUUGUAUGCUUAUGCCAAAAAUUUUUAAAUAUUUGAAGUAGUAAAAAACAUAAUAUUAAUAUUUGCAUUUAAUUGUUUAUAUAGGUUUAUCUGAGAAAGCCGUCAUACAUGAAUCAAAAGUUGUAUCUAUCAUAUUAUAUUGUAAGCAAUUCUUUACUAUUGGCAAUUGUCAAUGUAUCGAACUCACAAUUUUAUUAGUUAAUAUUUAUUUAUCGGUAAUAAAAGUACAUCUAAA